CCUGCCCAAGAGAUCGGGAUAACACCUGGAAACAGAUGCUAAUACCGGAUAACAACAGAUGAUGCCUAUCAACUGUUUAAAAGAUGGUUCUGCUAUCACUCUUGGAUGGACCUGCGGUGCAUUAGCUAGUUGGUAGGGUAACGGCCUACCAAGGCGAUGAUGCAUAGCCGAGUUGAGAGACUGAUCGGCAACAUUGGGACUGAGACACGGCCCAAACUCCUACGGGAGGCAGCAGCG
rnacentral:rRNA from 1 species